CAUGACUGUCACUCCUUCCUUACACCAUGAAGGCCCCAAAGUAGGAGCGGGUCCCGUCACGGAGUCGGACCAGGCGCUCAUCCGGCACACGGACGACCACCUCCUCGCCAGCGUCCAGGUGGGGAAACUGAGGCAUGGAGCCAUUAAGUGACCAGCCAAAAGCAUCAAAACUUGUGAGUGGCAUAACCAAGGAACAGAGAGAGCGCACACCCCGGGCCAGAAGACUUGUAAUCUCCAUGCUCUUCAGUUUUUCUCCAUUAAAAUGGACAUAUGAA